GCCGAUGUGGCGAAAUGGCAGACGCAACAGACUCAAAAUCUGUCGGGAGCAAUCCCGUGUCGGUUCGACCCCGACCAUCGGCACCA
rnacentral:tRNA from 1 species